ACUCCAAUGGCGUAUGGAAAGCGUAAAAGUAUAAACUGGCUUUAAUGUUUAAGACUUUAUUUUGUGGGUCUUUAUUUGAUAUCAUAGGAAGCUCACAAGAAGUCCACAUGUAAAGCAACUCUUUGUUCAUCCGAUUAACCCGGUCCUUUCCGCAAGAACAGGACAGAUUAAAUUUCCGAAAAAAUGAAGAAGUUUUCUCUAACCUGACAAACACGGCUCAUAAUGGCGACUUUAUAAUAUUAAAUUCCACGCGUGGUGAAGCUUCCUUGUUGCAGCAACUAAAGUUCUUUUCAAUUGCCGAAUUAUUUCGUGGUCUUUACUGCUUUUGGAGACUAUUUGAAUGAUGCAGCGGGGCGUGUUUUUCAUCAGAAACGGUGCUUGCUGAUUUUGAAAGAAACUGAAAUACAUUUGGCUGAAAGAAGAAAGAGGUAGUGUGGAUUGAUGGAGAGUUUUUUGCAAGAGAACUUUGAUGUUAGAUCGAAACAUUCGUCGACAGAGGUGUUGGAGAGAUGGAGAAAUCUUUGUGGAGUCGUCAAAAAUCCCAAACGGCGGUUUCGAUUCACGGCCAACCUCUCUAAACGGCACGAAGCUGAUGCUAUGCGCAAAACCAAUCAGGAAAAGUUGCGGAUUGCUGUUCUGGUUUCAAAAGCUGCAAUUCAAUUUCUAAUGGGUGAGCUUCUUCUCAAUUCAGAUAAACUUAAUAUUUGUUACAUCACAUUGUUCUUCGUAACCUUUUCUCAUGAAAAUUUUGCAGGCGUGUCACCAAGUGACUACACAGUAGCUGAGGAAGUCAAAGCUGCAGGCUUUCAAAUAUGUGCAGAUGAGUUAGGGUCCAUCGUUGAAGGUCAUGAUGUAAAGAAACUGAAAUUUCAUAAUGGAGUCUGUGGUAUUGCAGAAAAACUGUCCACAUCAAUAACUGACGGCCUUACUACAAGUGAUGAUCUUCUCAAUCGCAGACAAGAGAUAUAUGGAAUCAAUAAAUUUGCUGAGAGUGAACCUAGGGGUUUCUGGGUAUUUGUUUGGGAAGCUCUUCAGGAUAUGACACUAAUGAUACUUGGGGUGUGCGCUUUUGUAUCUUUAAUUGUUGGGAUAGCAAUGGAAGGAUGGCCUCAAGGGGCCCAUGAUGGCCUUGGAAUUGUUGCAAGUAUCUUGUUGGUUGUAUUCGUUACGGCAACAAGUGAUUACCGUCAAUCUCUACAGUUUAGAGAUCUAGACAAAGAGAAAAAAAAGAUAACAAUUCAGGUAACAAGAAAUGGAUUCAGACAGAAAUUGUCCAUCUAUGAUCUACUUCCUGGUGAUAUUGUACAUUUGGGGAUUGGAGACCAAGUCCCUGCGGAUGGACUUUUUGUUUCAGGAUUUUCUGUCUCGAUUGAUGAAUCAAGUUUAACUGGGGAGAGUGAACCGGUAAUGGUGAAUGCAGAAAAUCCUUUCAUGCUUUCCGGAACUAAGAUUCAAGAUGGUACAUGCAAAAUGAUGGUCACCACUGUUGGGAUGAGAACCCAAUGGGGUAAACUGAUGGCAACUCUUAGUGAAGGGGGAGAUGAUGAAACUCCAUUGCAGGUUAAAUUGAAUGGAGUUGCCACUAUUAUUGGCAAGGCAGGCCUAUUCUUUGCGAUAGUGACAUUUGCAGUUUUGGUGCAAGGACUUUUUAGUCAUAAACUACGAGAAGGGACAAUCUGGAGUUGGUCUGGGAAUGAAGCUUUGGAAAUGUUAGAAUUCUUUGCUGUUGCUGUUACAAUUGUUGUUGUUGCUGUUCCAGAGGGGCUUCCAUUAGCUGUAACAUUGAGUCUUGCCUUUGCAAUGAAGAAGAUGAUGAAUGAUAAAGCACUUGUUCGUCAUCUGGCGGCUUGUGAGACAAUGGGGUCAGCUACAAGUAUUUGUAGUGACAAAACUGGCACACUAACCACUAAUCACAUGACUGUUGUGAAAACAUGCAUUUGCAUGAAUAUCAAGGAAAUAAUUAAUACUGAUGGGGCUUCUAGCUUGCUCUCAGCGCUUCCUGAAUCUACAGCAAUACUUCUGCUACAAUCAAUAUUUAGUAACACUGGGGGUGAAGUAGUUGUUAACAAAGAUGGGAAACAUGAGAUACUAGGAUCGCCCACUGAGACUGCUAUAUUGGAGUUGGGCUUAUCACUUGGUGGAGAUUUUCAGAAAGUACGACAAGCGUUGAAGCUUGUUAAAGUUGAGCCGUUCAACUCUACAAAGAAACGGAUGGCAGUAGUGGUGGAGCUCCCUGAAGGACGCUUGCGAGCCCACUGUAAGGGUGCUUCAGAAAUAGUUUUAGCUUCCUGUGACAAGGUGAUUGAUUCGAAUGGCAAAGUUGUUCCCCUUGAUGAAGGGGCCAUUAACUAUCUCAACGCUAUAAUCGAUCAGUUUGCUAGUGAGGCACUUCGAACUCUUUGUCUUGCCUACAUGGAACUGGAGAAUGAAUUUUUACCAGAUAAUCCUAUUCCGGUUUCGGGGUACACUUGUAUUGGAAUUGUGGGUAUUAAGGAUCCUGUUCGUCCUGGUGUCAAAGAGUCUGUUGCGAUUUGUCGUUCAGCAGGUAUCACAGUUAGAAUGGUUACCGGCGAUAACAUAAACACCGCAAAGGCGAUUGCUAGGGAAUGUGGGAUUCUUACUGAUGGUGGUAUAGCCAUUGAGGGUCCUGAUUUCAGAGAGAAGAAAUUGGAGGAAUUGGUUCAAUUAAUUCCCAAAAUUCAGGUGAUGGCUCGAUCUUCACCUCUAGACAAGCAUACUUUGGUAAAGCACUUGCGGACUACAUUCGACGAAGUGGUGGCGGUGACUGGUGAUGGAACGAAUGAUGCCCCAGCACUUCAUGAAGCAGACAUUGGACUAGCAAUGGGCAUUGCUGGAACUGAGGUGGCUAAGGAGAGUGCUGAUGUAAUUAUUCUGGAUGAUAAUUUCUCCACAAUUGUAACAGUGGCCAAAUGGGGACGUUCUGUUUACAUAAACAUUCAAAAAUUCGUGCAGUUUCAGCUGACAGUUAAUGUUGUUGCACUAAUUGUUAAUUUUUCCUCUGCUUGCUUGACAGGGAGUGCUCCCCUCACUGCUGUUCAGCUACUGUGGGUCAACAUGAUCAUGGAUACACUGGGAGCAAUUGCACUAGCAACAGAGCCUCCAACCGAUGAAUUAAUGAAGCGUUCACCGGUUGGGAAGAGAGGAAAUUUCAUCAGUAAUAUCAUGUGGAGGAAUAUUUUGGGGCAGUCAACUUAUCAGUUCACUGUGAUAUGGUUGCUUCAGGCAAAGGGAAAAUCAAUGUUCUCUCUUGAUGGCCCUGAUUCUAAUAUAGUCUUGAACACACUUAUAUUCAACGCAUUUGUCUUUUGCCAGGUUUUCAACGAGAUCAGCUCGCGCGAGAUGGAGCAAAUUAAUGUUUUCAAAGGCAUACUAAACAACUAUGUCUUUGUCAGUGUCCUUGGCGUCACUGUUAUCUUCCAAAUCAUAAUUGUUGAAUUCCUGGGAACUUUUGCAAACACAACACCUCUCACUCUGUCACAGUGGCUUGCCUGCAUAUCCAUCGGAUUCUUAGGCAUGCCGAUUGCAGCUGUUUUUAAGAUGAUCCCUGUGUGAACCUCAAAUCACAGUAAGAGGCCUAUGUUUCGUAACCUGUCAAAGAAAAUCCCUCUUCUCAAAAAUAGCAGGUUCUUCUCUGACCUUCCGUGUACGACUUUGAACCACCUUGCUUUUCUCGUGAUUGGAGUUUGAAGAUAAUUUGCCACAGUUCCCAGAAUCACCUUCUCCAAACAAUUUGUCUGUACAGUUAAGCAGGUGAUCCAUUGCCUGGUCCAGCGUUGUCUGCAAAAAGAAAGGGAUGCCAAAUCAGGCAUCCUCCACUGAGAGUUUUCACCAACAGCUGAUAAAUUGUUGCAGUUUCAAAGCACAGCUUCUUACAAAGAUAAAACCUAUGAUCCAGUAUUUAAUGUCAUAAUUAUGUGAUUGUGGUGGAUGCAAAAUGGAAAGGGCUUACUCCAUUUUAAAAUUUA